rnacentral:rRNA from 1 species
UACGAAGGGGGCUAGCGUUGCUCGGAAUCACUGGGCGUAAAGCGCACGUAGGCGGAUUGUUAAGUCGGGGGUGAAAUCCUGGAGCUCAACUCCAGAACUGCCUUCGAUACUGGCGAUCUUGAGUCCGGGAGAGGUGAGUGGAACUCCGAGUGUAGAGGUGAAAUUCGUAGAUAUCUGGAGGAACACCGGUGGCGAAGGCGGCAUCCUGGACCGACACUGACGCUGAGGAGCGAAAGCCAGGGGAGCAAACGGG